GCAGUUUCCACUUAUCCUCCGCGGUGCAGCAGUUGAACCAGAGUGUGCAGCACUAUCAUUUCAGAUCCCCUUGUCACUUUGGGCUCCUCUAUGUCUAUAUUUUUAAAAGGUUUGAAUGUUUAGGUGGUUUCUCCCUGAAGGCAGUGGGCAGCCAUAGAUGAAGCAAUUUUUCAGUCUGAAACCAUUUCGCAAAGCAGUUGCUACACAACUCCAGUCAGACUCGGCCUCUGUGAGAUGACAGACAGCACCGACAUGGCUGGGUUAUCAUCUGCCUCACUCUAACACCCAGUAACAAUUUGAACUCUGACAAUGGCCACUAAAACUAUUUGAAUCUGCAGCAGUUUGAGAAAGGUAAUAUUUCCUCUCUCAUGAGACGGAGUGAUUAGACAGAAAACGAACAGUGUUGUGACAGGCCCAUGAUCAAUCUUCUAGGUUUUGGUUGAUUGAUUAUGACUGUGACCCCACUGUGUGUGUGUGAGGGGGGUUUGGCUGUCCUCUGCUCCAGCGGAUGAGACAUGAACAUGGUAUCUUUAGCUUCAUUAUCCAUCCCUACAUGUCAGGCUUCACUCAGUCAACCCCACAGACUCUUUGUUUCCCCUCACUGUCACCAACAGAUAUCAAACUAAGACACAGAUCUUAUUUUUAUUCAUUUAUUUCAGUCAAAACAAACAAACAAAAAAUGUUGCUGCUAUAAUGGAAAGACAAAGGAUGAGAAUCUGCUUUGUGUGAAGUGCUUGGAUCCAGACUGUAAAUUCAGAAGCACGGUGUUGAAGACUGAGUGUGGCUUGUCCCUGGCGAUGCAAUACUCCAGCAGCUGACUGCUCGGCUGAUUCCUCCAUACAUAUUUCAUACAGCAGCAGAUUCUCAUGAAGGAAUGCACAGCCAUUAACUCUACUGCUUCACCCCAGAGAGUUAUCGUGCCUUAUAGAAAACACUCUCAUUCUCUGCUGUGUUUCCUACACAGUAAAUGACUGCUGGGGUCUAAUAAUCUCGGGAGUUCAGUAAAAACUGAAAUAAUGGUUCGAGGUUUUGUUCCCUCCCAGGCAUUUGUCAGUUCUGUUUUUGGAGUGUGGAUGGAAAAAAAUAAAAUAAAAUAAUGAAUGCUCCGAGCAUGAUUGUAAUUUAGAGAUUUUGUGUAAAUUCAAUUUCAUGACAGAACCUUAAACGACAAAAGGUGCAUA